AACGCGUUAAAUCGACCGCCUGGGGAGUACGGCCGCAAGGUUAAAACUCAAAUGAAUUGACGGGGGCCCGCACAAGCGGUGGAGCAUGUGGUUUAAUUCGAUGCAACGCGAAGAACCUUACCUACUCUUGACAUCCAGAGAAGACUGCAGAGAUGCGGUUGUGCCUUCGGGAGCUCUGAGACAGGUGCUGCAUGGCUGUCGUCAGCUCGUGUUGUGAAAUGUUGGGUUAAGUCCCGCAACGAGCGCAACCCUUAUCCUUUGUUGCCAGCACUUCGGGUGGGAACUCAGGGGAGACUGCCGGUGAUAAACCGGAGGAAGGUGGGGAUGACGUCAAGUCAUCAUGGCCCUUACGAGUAGGGCUACACACGUGCUACAAUGGCGUAUACAAAGAGAAGCGACCUCGCGAGAGCAAGCGGACCUCAUAAAGUACGUCGUAGUCCGGAUUGGAGUCUGCAACUCGACUCCAUGAAGUCGGAAUCGCUAGUAAUCGUAGAUCAGAAUGCUACGGUGAAUACGUUCCCGGGCCUUGUACACACCGCCCGUCACACCAUGGGAGUGGGUUGCAAAAGAAGUAGGUAGCUUAACCUUCGGGAGGGCGCUUACCACUUUGUGAUUCAUGACUGGGGUGAAGUCGUAACAAGGUAACCGUAGGGGAACCUGCGGUUGGAUCACCUCCUUACCGAG
rnacentral:rRNA from 1 species